AAAAAAAUAAGAGAGAGAGGAGAAGUCCUACCUAUCCCCGGAGGAGAAGCUGUAGAGUUUGUCGGAGGCGGAGACAACGAGAAGCCCAACAGAUGCCUCGCAGAGAACAGAAAGCUGACGAGCUUUCUCGAUGAGACCGUUGCGUCGUUUGCAGAAGGUAUGAGGCAUAGACACGGCAUAAACCUACCUGAAGGGCAAAUGUGAAGAAUCCCUAGAACAAUGGAUACAACAAGGUCCUUGAAAGAAGUUGAGAAGACAAGAAAGAAAUGUUUUUUUUUUUUUUUUGCUUUUAACACAGACAGGAAAUGUCUUCGUAUGGGGUUUUAAUCAACUUGAAGGAGUAAAGAUGAAAGGAAGAUAUUUUUUUUUGUAUGGGUGUGUAUGUUACUAAAGGACUUUUCGUAGUGGAAAGCGGGUAUAAUUUGCCUCGGUACGGCUUGAAA